UCAGUGAGUUGUAUCUCCUCUUUGGUCUUCUCUCCCAAAGCCCACAAUCUGCUCUAAGAGAGCUCCAAGAGCUCCCUUUCUCUAUUAUUUCUUUGGCUCCAAGUAAGCUAUUGUAAGGUUUCUUAUCUAGUUCUUUAGCUUUUUUUUUUCCUAUCCAAUGGUUUAAUUUAAGGUAUGAAAGGACCUCAGGGCUUCAUAAUCUUCGAUCGGUUGAAGAAGUCUUUAAGGAUUUCAGAUGAAGGCACGUUGGGACAAUCAAGGUUCUCACCACUGGUUGGGUUUUGUUUCGUUGCUUCUCUCAUUCUUAUUUUGAGGAUUUUUUGCUUCAUAGGUUUUGAUGUUUAUGUUGUUGUUUUUCUUUUGCAGAUAUUGAGAAAUUCUUUCAAUAAUGUGAUCCUCGUGAGUUCUGUUUCUUAUAUGGGAUUGGCGAGGUUUUGAUAUUAAAAAAGUAAUAGUGACUAUGCUAUUAAUUUGGUUUA